rnacentral:rRNA from 1 species
AGAGUUUGAUCAUGGCUCAGAUUGAACGCUGGCGGCAGGCUUAACACAUGCAAGUCGAACGGUAACAGAACUAGCUUGCUAGUUGCUGACGAGUGGCGGACGGGUGAGUAACGCGUAGGAAUCUACCGAAUAGUGGGGGACAACAGUUGGAAACGGCUGCUAAUACCGCAUACGCCCUACGGGGGAAAGGAGGGGAUCUUCGGACCUUUCGCUAUUUGAUGAGCCUGCGUGAGAUUAGUUAGUUGGUGGGGUAAUGGCUCACCAAGGCGACGAUCUCUAGCUGGUCUGAGAGGAUGAUCAGCCACACUGGGACUGAGACACGGCCCAGACUCCUACGGGAGGCAGCAGUGGGGAAUAUUGCACAAUGGGGGAAACCCUGAUGCAGCCACGCCGCGUGUGUGAAGAAGGCCUUCGGGUUGUAAAGCACUUUCAGUUGUGAGGAAAGGUUAAGGGUUAAUA